UGGCAAGCGUUGUCCGGAUUUACUGGGCGUAAAGAGUAUGUAGGUGGGCAUUUAAGUCAGAUGUGAAAUUCCCGGGCUUAACUUGGGAGCUGCAUUUGAUACUGGGUGUCUAGAGUGCAGGAGAGGAAAGUGGAAUUCCUAGUGUAGCGGUGAAAUGCGUAGAGAUUAGGAAGAACACCAGUGGCGAAGGCGACUUUCUGGACUGUAACUGACACUGAGAUACGAAAGCGUGGGUAGCAAA
rnacentral:rRNA from 1 species